CCGUGCAUAGCUCAGUCUGGUUAGAGUGCAUGCUUUGGGAGCAUGAAGUCGGAGGUUCGAAUCCUCCUGCACGGACCA
rnacentral:tRNA from 1 species